rnacentral:rRNA from 1 species
UUUGACCGUGCAAAGGUAGCAUAAUCAUUAGUCUCUUAAUUAGGGGCUGGAAUGAAUGGUUUGACGAGAAAUUAACUGUCUCUUAAUAAUUUUUAGAAUUUAACUUUUGAGUUAAAAGGCUUAAAUUCUUUUUUAGGACGAGAAGACCCUAUAGAGCUUGACAUUUUAUUUAUAUAUAGUUUUUAGUUAGUCUUUCUAUAUUUAAUGAUAAUGUUUUGUUGGGGUGACAUGAAGAAUAAAUAAACUCUUCAUUAUAAAAUCAUUGAUUUAUGUUUUCAUGAUCCAUAAUUUAUGAUCAUAAGAUGAAGUUACCUUAGGGAUAACAGCGUAAUUGUUUUUGAGAGCUCAUAUCGACAAAACAGAUUGCGACCUCGAUGUUGGAUUAAGAUAAAUGUUGGGUGCAGUAGCUCAAUAAUUAGGUCUGUUCGACCUUUAAUUUCUUACG